GUAGAUCUUUCAGUUACAUUGAUCGGCUGACAUUUCUACACAAACAAAAGGAAGCACUUUGCUUCUUCCUGUGACGCCUAGUAAUUAAGUUGUUGAAUUUGUUGCCACCGGAUGUUGUGGCGGCUACUGACACUUAUAUUUUUUUAAGGGUUAGAAAAACUUAUGUGACUUUUCUUCUAGGACAGGACAGUCAUCAUACUACAAUGAAAAUUGUAGGAAAGGGCCCUUCCGCAAUAGGCAGAAGAAAAUUGCUGCUGGGGACAAGAAGCCCACCCCAGGACCUUCAGGAGAAGGGCAGGUAAUAAAUAUAAUAAAUGUUGUUGUUGAUGAUGAUAUGUGUUUGCAUAUAUUUGUGUAUUUAUACAUCACAUUUCUAAUGUUUCAAUUCAUAUAUAUAUAUAUAUAUAUAUAUAUGCAGGUUUUGG
rnacentral:lncRNA from 1 species